UCCAUAACGCCAGAGGCCCCAAUAAGACCCUUAUUUCAGUUAUUUGGUUCGUUGCUGGAGCAAGACUUGGCUCGAACUCAAGCCUAUGUUGUUCUUCACUCACAAAGGGUAUCCAGAUCCCAGAAGAUGAUCAGGAUUGUGCUUCUACCUCCCUAACAAGCAAUUUCAUCGCAACGCAAGACACACACACAUACAAAUGUGAAAUAUGAAAUACGAAAGAUGCACCUGC